UGCAAGUCGAGCGGACAGAUGGGAGCUUGCUCCCUGAUGUUAGCGGCGGACGGGUGAGUAACACGUGGGUAACCUGCCUGUAAGACUGGGAUAACUCCGGGAAACCGGGGCUAAUACCGGAUGGUUGUCUGAACCGCAUGGUUCAGACAUAAAAGGUGGCUUCGGCUACCACUUACAGAUGGACCCGCGGCGCAUUAGCUAGUUGGUGAGGUAACGGCUCACCAAGGCGACGAUGCGUAGCCGACCUGAGAGGGUGAUCGGCCACACUGGGACUGAGACACGGCCCAGACUCCUACGGGAGGCAGCAGUAGGGAAUCUUCCGCAAUGGACGAAAGUCUGACGGAGCAACGCCGCGUGAGUGAUGAAGGUUUUCGGAUCGUAAAGCUCUGUUGUUAGGGAAGAACAAGUGCCGUUCAAAUAGGGCGGCACCUUGACGGUACCUAACCAGAAAGCCACGGCUAACUACGUGCCAGCAGCCGCGGUAAUACGUAGGUGGCAAGCGUUGUCCGGAAUUAUUGGGCGUAAAGGGCUCGCAGGCGGUUUCUUAAGUCUGAUGUGAAAGCCCCCGGCUCAACCGGGGAGGGUCAUUGGAAACUGGGGAACUUGAGUGCAGAAGAGGAGAGUGGAAUUCCACGUGUAGCGGUGAAAUGCGUAGAGAUGUGGAGGAACACCAGUGGCGAAGGCGACUCUCUGGUCUGUAACUGACGCUGAGGAGCGAAAGCGUGGGGAGCGAACAGGAUUAGAUACCCUGGUAGUCCACGCCGUAAACGAUGAGUGCUAAGUGUUAGGGGGGUUUCCGCCCCUUAGUGCUGCAGCUAACGCAUUAAGCACUCCGCCUGGGGAGUACGGUCGCAA
rnacentral:rRNA from 1 species